GACGAACGCUGGCGGCGUGCCUAAUACAUGCAAGUCGAGCGAAGUUUUUCUGGUGCUUGCCCUAGAAAAACUUAGCGGCGAACGGGUGAGUAACACGUAAAGAACCUGCCUCAUAGACUGGGACAACUAUUGGAAACGAUAGCUAAUACCGGAUAACAGUAUUUCUCGCAUGAGAGAUAUUUAAAAGUUGGUUCUGCUAACACUAUGAGAUUGCUUUGCGGUGCAUUAGCUAGUUGGUGGGGUAAAGGCCCACCAAGGCGACGAUGCAUAGCCGACCUGAGAGGGUGAUCGGCCACACUGGGACUGAGACACGGCCCAGACUCCUACGGGAGGCAGCAGUAGGGAAUCUUCCGCAAUGGGCGAAAGCCUGACGGAGCAACGCCGCGUGAGUGAAGAAGGAUUUCGGUUCGUAAAGCUCUGUUGUUAGGGAAGAAUGGAUAUGUAGUAACUAUACAUGUAAGAGACGGUACCUAACCAGAAAGCCACGGCUAACUACGUG
rnacentral:rRNA from 1 species